CCUUUCCUUUCCUUUCUUCCACUUCUUCCUCCCGCCUAGCACACUCUAAAUAAGUGUAUUUCUGGGUUUAUGUUGACUCUCCUAAAAUAUAAGUUUUGAAUUAUACAAAGAAGUUGUUAUUAAGAUCAUAUUCUUUAUUUUGUACCAUCUGAUUAAUUAGAUCUUGCUUGUUAUAGUGUUUAGAUGAGGUUCAGUCAUAUAUCCUCGUUGAAAGAUCUUUGGAGAAGUACAAUGUUGUUCUUGACUCUAUAGUUCAAGACUUUCCUCACGUGGUAUUGCUUCAAUACUACAUUGAACGACAGUGCCUGCUGAAAUGUACGAGGAGGAUUCUCAUGCAUGCUUUAUCUCUAGGAAAUGGCUAUCAGAGAGAUGUCGAUAUAUGGAAGGAGGCACUAAACCUCAUUUCUGAUGGUUUAGAAGGAAAGUUAUUGUCUGUUCUCCAAGAGAUUCUUUCUUCUAGUCACCCUGACCAAAUGGGAUCAAAGAAUCAGAAAGAAAAAAACAUAUAAAACUCUGCAGCAACAAUUUACUGCAGUAAUCUUGUUAUUCACUUUAAAGUUAAGACUUCCGGCAACAACACCUCUGGCACUCUACAGAUUCCCUAGAUGUGACAAGCGAAGUAGAAAAGGAUACUUAAGACAUCUGAAAGUAGUAACUUUAUUUAUUUCUUUGUGUUGAAAGUAGUAACUUUUAACUAUGUUGAAUAUUUAAGACUCUUUGAAUACUUAAAGAACAUUUUGUUGUUGAUGACAGUGUUGAAUGUUUUAAACUAAUUUGUGGAUUGUUAAUACAAUGUUGAAUGUUCUUA